GCCGGGCAUGGUGGCGCAUGCCUGUAAUCCCAGCUACUCAGGAGGCUGAGGCAGGAGAAUUGCUUGAGCCUGGGAGGCAGAGGUUGCAGUGAGCCAAGAUCGCGCCACUGCACUCCAGCCUGGGUGACAGAGCGAGACUCCGUCUCAA
rnacentral:sRNA from 1 species